rnacentral:rRNA from 1 species
ACGAACGCUGGCGGCGUGCCUAAUACAUGCAAGUAGAACGCACAGUUUAUACCGUAGCUUGCUACACCAUAGACUGCGAGUUGCGAACGGGUGAGUAACGCGUAGGUAACCUGCCUGGUAGCGGGGGAUAACUAUUGGAAACGAUAGCUAAUACCGCAUAAUAUUAAUUAUUGCAUGAUAAUUAAUUGAAAGGUGCAAUUGCACCACUACCAGAUGGACCUGCGUUGUAUUAGCUAGUAGGUGAGGUAACGGCUCACCUAGGCGACGAUACAUAGCCGACCUGAGAGGGUGAUCGGCCACACUGGGACUGAGACACGGCCCAGACUCCUACGGGAGGCAGCAGUAGGGAAUCUUCGGCAAUGGACGAAAGUCUGACCGAGCAACGCCGCGUGAGUGAAGAAGGUUUUCGGAUCGUAAAGCUCUGUUGUAAGAGAAGAACGGGUGUGAGAGUGGAAAGUUCACACUGUGACGAUAUCUGACCAGAAAGGGACGGCUAACUACGUG